rnacentral:rRNA from 1 species
UCCUACGGGAGGCAGCAGUGGGGAAUAUUGCACAAUGGGGGAAACCCUGAUGCAGCGACGCCGCGUGAGUGAAGAAGUAUUUCGGUAUGUAAAGCUCUAUCAGCAGGGAAGAAGUUGACGGUACCUGAGUAAGAAGCCCCGGCUAACUACGUGCCAGCAGCCGCGGUAAUACGUAGGGAGCGAGCGUUGUCCGGAAUUACUGGGUGUAAAGGUAGCGUAGGCGGGACGGCAAGUCAGAUGUGAAAACUGAGGGCUCAACUUUCAGACUGCAUUUGAAACUGCUGUUCUUGAGUGAAGUAGAGGUA